rnacentral:rRNA from 1 species
UGGGGAAUAUUGGACAAUGGGCGAAAGCCUGAUCCAGCCAUGCCGCGUGUGUGAAGAAGGUCUUCGGAUUGUAAAGCACUUUAAGUUGGGAGGAAGGGCAGUUACCUAAUACGUAUCUGUUUUGACGUUACCGACAGAAUAAGCACCGGCUAACUCUGUGCCAGCAGCCGCGGUAAUACAGAGGGUGCAAGCGUUAAUCGGAAUUACUGGGCGUAAAGCGCGCGUAGGUGGUUCGUUAAGUUGGAUGUGAAAUCCCCGGGCUCAACCUGGGAACUGCAUUCAAAACUGUCGAGCUAGAGUAUGGUAGAGGGUGGUGGAAUUUCCUGUGUAGCGGUGAAAUGCGUAGAUAUAGGAAGGAACACCAGUGGCGAAGGCGACCACCUGGACUGAUACUGACACUGAGGUGCGAAAGCGUGGGGAGCAAACAG